GCCCUUAGAGUUUGAUCCUGGCUCAGGAUGAACGCUGGCGGUAUGCUUUACACAUGCAAGUCGUACGAGAGUUUUUAACUCAAGUGGCGGACGAGGUGAGUAACACGUAAGAAUUUGCCUUUAGGAGGGGGAUAACAACUGGAAACGGUUGCUAAUACCCCAUAUGCUUUCGAGUAAAAUGGAUUUUCCGCCUAAAGAGAAGCUUGCGGCUGAUUAGCUUGUUGGUGAGGUAAUGGCUCACCAAGGCGACGAUCAGUAUCUGGUUUGAGAGGACGAUCAGACACACUGGAACUGAGACGCGGUCCAGACUCCUACGGGAGGCAGCAGUGGGGAAUUUUCCGCAAUGGGCGAAAGCCUGACGGAGCAAUACCGCGUGAGGGAUGACGGCCUAUGGGUUGUAAACCUCUUUUUUCAGGGAGGAAUCAAUGACGUGUACCUGAAGAAUAAGCAUCGGCUAACUCCGUGCCAGCAGCCGCGGUAAGACGGAGGAUGCAAGUGUUAUCCGGAAUCACUGGGCGUAAAGCGUCUGUGGUGGUCAAAUAAGUCAACUGUUAAAUCUUGAGGCUCAACCUCAAAAUCGCAGUCGAAACUAUUCGACUAGAGUAUAGUAGGGGUAAAGGGAAUUUCCAGUGGAGCGGUGAAAUGCGUAGAGAUUGGAAAGAACACCGAUGGCGAAGGCACUUUACUGGGCUAUUACUAACACUGAGAGACGAAAGCUAGGGUAGCAAAUGGGAUUAGAUACCCCAGUAGUCCUAGCCGUAAACAAUGGAUACUAGAUGUUGAACAGAUCGACCUGUGCAGUAUCAAAGCUAACGCGUUAAGUAUCCUCGCCUGGGAAGUAUGCUCGCAAGAGUGAAACUCAAAUGAAUUGACGGGGAAGGGC
rnacentral:rRNA from 1 species